rnacentral:misc_RNA from 1 species
UUACACAUGCCCAACUUGUAAACUUAAGUAUGAAAUAUCUUGUUGUUCAAACCUUUAGUAAACAAAUCAGCCACUUGUUCUUUGGAAGUCACAUAAGAGACACUUAAAGACCCAUAAACUAUUUUUUCCUUUAUAAAGUGUUGAUCAAUCUCUAUAUGUUUAGUCCGAUCAUGUUGAAUUGGGUUAUGAACUAUAUAGAUAGCAGCUUUGUUGUCGCAGAAUAAGGACAAAUUGUUUUUUUCUUAUAAUCGCAUUUCCUCCAUCAAUUUUCGCAACUACAAUAGCUCACAUAUACCCUGUGCCAUGGCUCUAUAUUCUGCUUCUGGACUCGAUCUAGCAGUCACAUUUUGUUUUUUACUUCUCCAAGUAACAAGAUUACCCCCAAUGAAUGUACAAUAACCUGAGGUUGACCUUCUGUCAUCAAGGGAACCUACCCAAUAUACAUCUGUAAAAGCUUUUACUUGUAGGUGACCAUGCUUGGAGAAGAGCAGGCCUUUCCCAGGUGCAGAUUUUAGAUAUCUUAGAAUGUGGAACACAGCCUCUAAAUGAGAUUUUUGUGGAUUAUGCAUAUACCGGCUUACUAGACUUACUGCAUAGACCAUAUCUGGUCUAGUAUGUGAAAGAUAAAUCAAUCUUCCAACUAACAUUUGAUAUCUUCCCAUAUCAACUGAAUUACCAACCCCUGCUUGUAACUUGUGAUUGACUUCAAUAGGAGCAUCAGUUUCUUUCAGGAGAUCCAGAAUGUAUUUUCUCUGAGAGAUAAAUAUCCCUUUAUCAAAUCUUGCAACUUUUAUCCCAAGAAAAUAUCGCAAC